UACGUAGGGACCGAGCGUUGUCCGGAAUCAUUGGGCGUAAAGCGCGUGUAGGCGGCUUGUCAAGUCCGGUGUGAAAUCUCGGGGCUCAACUCCGAAACUGCACUGGAAACUGGCUUGCUAGAGUCCGGAAGAGGAGAUUGGAAUUCCUGGUGUAGCGGUGAAAUGCGCAGAUAUCAGGAAGAACACCCGUGGCGAAGGCGGAUCUCUGGGACGGUACUGACGCUGAGACGCGAAAGCGUGGGGAGCGAACAGGAUUAGAAACCCUGGUAGUCC
rnacentral:rRNA from 1 species